CCUACGUGAGGCUGCAGUGAGGAAUAUUGGUCAAUGGACGAGAGUCUGAACCAGCCAAGUAGCGUGAAGGAUGACUGCCCUAUGGGUUGUAAACUUCUUUUAUAUGGGAAUAAAAUGUUCCACGUGUGGGAUUUUGUAUGUACCAUAUGAAUAAGGAUCGGCUAACUCCGUGCCAGCAGCCGCGGUAAUAAGGAGGCUCCGAGAGUUAUCCGGAUUUAUUGGGUUUAAAGGGAGCGUAGAUGGGUUGUUAAGUCAGUUGUGAAAGUUUGCGGCUCAACCGUAAAAUUGCAAUUGAUACUGGCAGUCGUGAGUACAGUUGAGGUAGGCGGAAUGCGUGGUGUAGCGGUGAAAUGCUUAGAUAUCACGAAGAACUCCGAUUGCGAAGGCAGCUUACUAAACUGCCACUGACAUUGAUGCUCGAAAGUGUGGGUAUCAAACAGGAUUAGAUACCCCUGUAGUC
rnacentral:rRNA from 1 species